UGAGGAAUAUUGGUCAAUGGGCGAGAGCCUGAACCAGCCAAGUCGCGUGAAGGAUGACGGCCCUACGGGUUGUAAACUUUCUUUUGUCAGGGAGCAAUUGAGUCCACGUGUGGGCUUAGCGAGAGUACCUGAAGAAAAAGCAUCGGCUAACUCCGUGCC
rnacentral:rRNA from 1 species